ACCCUUUUUCUCUGCAACUGAACCAAGAGAUCCCCUUAUCUCUUCAACGUAAGCCUAGCAAUAUCCCACCAAAUCCGCCUGCUGCUCACCUCUCACAUCCGCUUACAGCCCUCUUCUCCUUUCUCACACUCCAUCUCUGAAGCUUGCAGGCCCAUGUGCGAUUUCAGCGGAUUUCAUGGUAAGUCCCAUCCCUAUUUUCAUCAUCUCAUCUGUUGAAAAUAUCUCCCAAAAUUUCCCCCCUUUCCCUUAUUUUUGAAUUUCGAAUUCUUGCUUCUUUGUGGAGCUGUUGAAACCCUCAGUUGUUACCUAUAAAUAGAAGCCCUUAGUGAGCUAUUUAGGACAAGUUUCAAGGGUAGAAAAUCCCAUUUAAGUCAACAAGGUUCAAGUGUUGGAAAUUCCUCUGGAAUAACCCAAAAAAUCUCAUCUGUUUUCUUAAAAAAUCUCUCUUUUAACUCUAAUUUUGUUUUGUCGAAUUCUUGGUGGUUCUCGGCUAAACAAGCUCUUCAAGCGGAUUCGGAGACUCGACGACGACGUUAGCCUCAGUUUGCUGUCACGGAAAAGGAACCUUGGGAGCAUUUGAAGUUAUGGCAACUCCGGAUUCUGCCCAUAUCAGAGAACCGCCAGUUGCAGGAUUUAAUUUCUCGUGUCUAGCGUCCCCGUCUUCCUUCCUCUCUUUAAAUUUCGUGUCUUCUUGUUAUCAUGUAUAUACAUGUUUAUAUUCUUGACUAACAUUUUUUAUGGAUUGUAUUUGUAGCAUAUUUGUUUCUCGCUUGUGUACGAACUUGCGGGAAAAAUGGUUUAGUAUGAUAGUGAAUUUAGUCAUUUACUUCCCUUCCCUUUUUAGAUACCAAUCCCGAUUUAGAGUGAAAGACAUUUUACUAAUCAUUUUAAGGGAAUGUUUUUAGUAUAUUUUCUAGAUUCAAAUUAUCUUCCACAAGGAAAUAA